AUUGAACGCUGGCGGCAGGCCUAACACAUGCAAGUCGAACGGUAACAGGAAGCAGCUUGCUGCUUUGCUGACGAGUGGCGGACGGGUGAGUAAUGUCUGGGAAACUGCCUGAUGGAGGGGGAUAACUACUGGAAACGGUAGCUAAUACCGCAUAACGUCGCAAGACCAAAGAGGGGGACCUUAGGGCCUCUUGCCAUCGGAUGUGCCCAGAUGGGAUUAGCUAGUAGGUGGGGUAACGUCUCACCUAGGCGACGAUCCCUAGCUGGUCUGAGAGGAUGACCAGCCACACUGGAACUGAGACACGGUCCAGACUCCUACGGGAGGCAGCAGUGGGGAAUAUUGCACAAUGGGCGCAAGCCUGAUGCAGCCAUGCCGCGUGUAUGAAGAAGGCCUUCGGGUUGUAAAGUACUUUCAGCGGGGAGGAAGGGAGUAAAGUUAACACCUUUGCUCAUUGACGUUACCCGCAGAAGAAGCACCGGCUAACUCCGUG
rnacentral:rRNA from 1 species